GUUUGAUCCUGGCUCAGGAUGAACGCUGGCGGCGUGCUUAACACAUGCAAGUCGAACGAAGCACCUUAUUCUGAUUUUUUCGGAAUGAAAAAUUUUGGUGACUGAGUGGCGGACGGGUGAGUAACGCGUGGGUAACCUGCCUCAUACAGGGGGAUAACAGUUAGAAAUGACUGCUAAUACCGCAUAAGACCACAGCACCGCAUGGUGCAGGGGUAAAAACUCCGGUGGUAUGAGAUGGACCCGCGUCUGAUUAGGUAGUUGGUGGGGUAACGGCCUACCAAGCCGACGAUCAGUAGCCGACCUGAGAGGGCGACCGGCCACAUUGGGACUGAGACACGGCCCAAACUCCUACGGGAGGCAGCAGUGGGGAAUAUUGCACAAUGGGGGAAACCCUGAUGCAGCGACGCCGCGUGAGCGAUGAAGUAUUUCGGUAUGUAAAGCUCUAUCAGCAGGGAAGAAAAUGACGGUACCUGACUAAGAAGCACCGGCUAAAUACGUGCCAGCAGCCGCGGUAAUACGUAUGGUGCAAGCGUUAUCCGGAUUUACUGGGUGUAAAGGGAGCGUAGACGGAUGGACAAGUCUGAUGUGAAAGGCUGGGGCUCAACCCCGGGACUGCAUUGGAAACUGCCCGUCUUGAGUGCCGGAGAGGUAAGCGGAAUUCCUAGUGUAGCGGUGAAAUGCGUAGAUAUUAGGAGGAACACCAGUGGCGAAGGCGGCUUACUGGACGGUAACUGACGUUGAGGCUCGAAAGCGUGGGGAGCAAACAGGAUUAGAUACCCUGGUAGUCCACGCGGUAAACGAUGAUGAAAGGUGUCGGGGAGCAAAGCUCUUCGGUGCCGCCGCAAACGCAUUUAGCCUUCCGCCUGGGGAGUACGAUUCGCAAGAAUGAAACUUCAAAGGAUUGACGGGGACCCGCACAGGCGGUGGAGCAGGUGGUUUAAUUCGAAACAAAACGAAGAACCUUACCAAGUCUUGACAUCCCUCUGACGGGAACUUAACCGUUCCUUUCCUUCGGGACAGAGGAGACAGAUGGAGCAUGGUUGUCGUCAGCUCGUGUCGUGAGAUGUUGGGUUAAGUCCCGCAACGAGCGCAACCCCUAUCCCCAGUAGCCAGCGGUUCGACCGGGCACUCUGAGGAGACUGCCAGGGAUAACCUGGAGGAGGGCGGGGAUGACGUCAAAUCAUCAUGCCCCUUAUGAUUUGGGCUACACACGUGCUACAAUGGCGUAAACAAAGGGAAGCGAACCCGCGAGGGUGGGCAAAUCCCAAAAAUAACGUCCCAGUUCGGACUGUAGUCUGCAACCCGACUACACGAAGCUGGAAUCGCUAGUAAUCGCGGAUCAGAAUGCCGCGGUGAAUACGUUCCCGGGUCUUGCACUCACCGCCCGUCA
rnacentral:rRNA from 1 species